rnacentral:rRNA from 1 species
UGAGGAAUAUUGGUCAAUGGGCGCAAGCCUGAACCAGCCAAGCCGCGUGCAGGAUGAAGCAUCUAUGGUGUGUAAACUGCUUUUGUACGGGAAGAAACCACCCCUCGUGAGGGGUAUUGACGGUACCGUAAGAAUAAGGACCGGCUAACUCCGUGCCAGCAGCCGCGGUAAUACGGAGGAUCCAAGCGUUAUCCGGAAUCAUUGGGUUUAAAGGGUCCGUAGGCGGGUCUGUAAGUCAGUGGUGAAAUCUCCCCGCUCAACGGAGAAACUGCCAUUGAUACUGCAGGUCUUGAAUGAGUGGGAAGUGACAAUAAUAUGUGGUGUAGCGGUGAAAUGCUUAGAGAUGACAAGGAAUACCGAUGGCGAAGGCGGGUUACUACCAAUGGAUUGACGCUGAUGGACGAAAGCGUGAGGAGCGAACA